UUAAGUAUCAUAGGUGUAAAUUCCUAAUUUUAAUUUUCAGUUCAUAUCCUAUCCGAAGCACCUCUCCCUUCUUUGUUUUCACGUACACUCCUACGAACUAUUGUCCCCAUGCCGUGGUCGCCAUUGCAUCCUCACAUCCUCAGCACCGUUGCAUCGUCGUUUCCCACACGACGAAAAUCCCACGUUUCUGAAAAUACCAGGAUUCGAGUUUCGUAAGUGGGAAAACGGCAAUCUUUACGCAACAAAGCAACCCACUUUGUUUCUGUCCUUCUCAAUCCCAUUUCGGACUCCGACGCUUCAAACCCUCCUCCAAGCACCCUCCACCCACUCCAACACCAACGCCUCCUUCCGGAGAAGUAGGUGGAUCAGAGAAUGAUGAAGAGGUUAAUCGUGGUUUAGCUUAUUGGCCUGAUACUUCAUCCUUCACUGAGUUUCUCUAUUCUUUACUGUCUUCCUCUGACCCAUGAGAUAAUGCAAACUCGCACGCGCAGAGUGAUGAUAGCAAAGGUGCUGCACCUAAUCACAACCCUUUACCAGACUCGUUGAUGAAGGAAAAUGUUGGGAGGAAAAGUUUGUUUUCCAAAAGCAAGCAAUCACUUGGCAGAGCCAUUCGUCACUUGGAGGCAUGAUAUAUCACUUUCCACUCUUUACCGGAGAAACAUGAUUUGGCCUGGAUUGAGUUUGCUGACUGUUGGAGAUAAAACAUGAGCAGUAUUUGGCAGCAUUGUUGAAGCACCUCUCAGAUCAUCUAGCAAGAAAAAAUACCAGGGAACAAACAAUACAUUUGUUUUCACAAAUAUCUCUGGUCAUCCUGUCAUCGCCCAACAGAAGUGGGAAUGCUAACAGAUCAUUAAAAAGCCUGCCAACCAAAUCUGCUUCAGUUUACUCUCUCCAGACUUUGAUGCUCUGUUAUCGGGAUAAUAUCAUAGUAAAAAUUGAGCACGAGAAGAGAUUGGAAGCACUUGCUUGUGUUUGAUCCAGGAUGGGUAAAGCUAUUAUGGGCUGCAAGGUGGGGAUUGACUUGAUCAUCAGGCUUGAACCAAUUGGGACCUCAAGGACAAGGUGAAUAUUUAGGAGAAGGAAGGAGUAGUUGGUUACAAUAGGUUAGUCAUUAACCGUUUUUAGCUAUAUCUUAUGAUAGUGAGUUAGUUAUGUAGAUAGUUUGAAGAAGGCAUGUUGCCUAUAAAAAAGAAAAAGGGGAUCUUAUCUUUUGUGAAAGGUUUGUAAUCAGAGACUAGGGAAUGAGGAGAGGUAAGGAUCUCUUGAAUACCUUGAGCACCAAUUUAAUUAAUCUCUUGCUCUGUUAUCAGAGGGGUUGUAAUAGAGAAUGCAUAAGAGAAAAGAGAGUUUCAAAUUAUCAUUUCACUGCUUGAUUAUUAUCCGACUGACGCUUGUGUGUCCAAUUUUAAGCUAAUUUCGUUAAACAUUCAAUACUAUAUUGAAAUAAUUUCCAGCUGUUGGUACGGAGAAGAUCGGCUGGCUUGGUCCUAUAUCAUAUGAAUACCCAUCAUAUCUUACUGAGACUUGCUUGGGGAUUAUGGCUAUGACAUUGCGGGGAUAGGUAAGGAUCAUGUGGCGCUGCAUAAAUACUUCAAGUAUGUUAUAUUUAAUAUUUUAAUGGAAGCCAUUAUGCAUGUGUUGCUGCUGCUUGUCAUGUAUGGUAAUUUUUCAUAUGAUAAAAAGUUUGAAUUUUUUAUUUACUUAUAUAGAAAAUAAAAAGUAUUAAUUAUUAUGGUAUUCUUUGGACAAUAAUUUCCUGUUUCUUUUAAAUAGUUUAUCGAUAAUCUGAAGUGCCUGUUUUCAAAAUUAACAGAAAAACAUUAUAUAAAACAGAAUUGUUUAUUAAUGAUGUUAUAUUGUGUGAAGCUUUAUAUAUGAUAAUUUUUCCUCUUUUAUCAAUAAGUUUUGAGAUAUUGCAUGCUUGGUGGGCUAUGCUUGCAUCUAUCGGAGCUCUGAUUCCAGAGAAAUAUUAGACCUAUUGGGAGCCUUUAACUUUGUGGAACCUAUCGUGUUGUUUAUUCAAAGCUCAAGGUUAGAAUGUCCUGUUUCUUGGAUCAUAUUUGUACCAUCUUGCUUGUUAUUUUGUUGGGUUUUAUCAUUUAGAAGUUUGUCCUAUUGAUUGAUUGGAAAUGCCUAUACAAUUUGUUCUCUCUCAAACAUUAGGGUAGAUGUUAUAACCCCUUUGUUAGAUUAGGGUUUUCUUUAACUCUUUCAAUUUUCCCUUAAUGGAGUUAUAACAAAUCUAUUGUAAUUUUGGGUUAUAAAAACCCUUUCUUUCAAUAAUAAAAGUAAGCAGAAUGAUUCAGAAACUUUGUAUUGAGAAGCGUGUAGUGCUACCUGAGUCCAAUAACAAUAGCCGUGAGUUGUGUGUCAAUGCACUACUGUGAGGAAAGGAACCAUUUCCUCACACUUAUAAUAAAUGAUAGAAUAGUAACACUGUAACAGCAAAAGAGUUGAAGGUCGUUUCUUCUUUAGCUGUGCUGCAUUUGCGUCAUCAAUAACCAUAGAGAACCUUUAGAUAUUCUUGCAUCAGUUCUUGGAUGCCCACAACUUCAAUUUCCAUCUUUCUUCGUGGGACGGAUUACAUGGAAUGGAGAACCAAAGUUUUUGACGGGAUUGAUGUUGGGGCCUUCGAUGAUCCAGUGGUUGGUUGUCAAGUUGGAAUUAGAAAAGUCCAUCAGGUUGAUUAUUUUUACAAAUUUUUAAUAUUUUUAUUUAUUGUUA